UAGGGAAUAUUGGUCAAUGGAGGCAACUCUGAACCAGCCAUGCCGCGUGUAGGAAGAAGGCGUUCUGCGUUGUAAACUACUUUUGAUUGGGAACAAAUGACUCUUGCGAGAGUAGCUGAGUGUACCAAUAGAAUAAGCCACGGCUAACUACGUGCCAGCAGCCGCGGUAAUACGUAGGUGGCAAGCGUUGUCCGGAUUUAUUGGGUUUAAAGGGUGCGUAGGCGGCUUAAUAAGUCAGUGGUGAAAGCCGAUCGCUUAACGAUCGAACUGCCAUUGAUACUGCUAGGCUUGAGUAUAGUUGAGGUAGGCGGAAUUGACAGUGUAGCGGUGAAAUGCAUAGAUAUUGUCAAGAACACCAAUUGCGAAGGCAGCUUACUAAAGUAUAACUGACGCUGAGGCACGAAAGUGCGGGGAUCAAACAGG
rnacentral:rRNA from 1 species